UACGGAGGAUGCAAGCGUUAUCCGGAUUCAUUGGGUUUAAAGGGUGCGUAGGCGGCUUUUUAAGUCAGCGGUGAAAUUUUGCAGCUUAACUGUAACAGUGCCGUUGAUACUGGGGAGCUAGGAUUUGGUUGCUGUGGGUGGAAUGUGUGGUGUAGCGGUGAAAUGCUUAGAGAUCACACAGAAUAUCGAUUGCGAAGGCAGCUCACAAAGCAAAGAUUGACGCUGAGGCACGAAAGUGUGGGGAUCAAACAGGAUUAGA
rnacentral:rRNA from 1 species